rnacentral:lncRNA from 1 species
AAGAAGAUGGAACGUUAUUGGUCAGCUUCUCUCAAUUUCACCAAGCCAUAAUUAGAAUGGCCAUGUCUUUAUGGCUGAUGAGGAUAAAGCCCAAAGAGGAAAGAUCAUGUCAAGACUCUUCAAGUCUACUCCUGAAGGUGUGAGGAAAACUCAUCAAAAUGAUCCGACUAAGGUCCAGAGGAGUUUCCUAGGAGCCUAGAUUUGGAGCUAGAAGAGGACCUCAGUGAUCAUUGAGUCUACAGAUGAGGAAACCGAGGCCCAGAGGUCAAGGACUUGCGCAGGGACACACAGCUGGUCUGUGGUGGGAUUUGAAUUUAGGGCUUCCUGACUCCAAACAAGCCUUGUAGCCACAUUGCCUCUCAGUUUUGAUUUUCAUGGGCGGAUGGGUCCUUGCCCUGACAGAAUCAUGGGUCACUGAGUAGUGAAAAUAUUUUAGUUUUAGGGUUUUGUUUUGGUUUUUUUGGCUAGGCAAUGGGGUUAAGUGACUUGCCCUGAGUCACACAGCUAGUAUUAAGUGUCUGAGGCUGGAUUUGAACUCAGGUCGCCCUGACUCCAAGGCCAGAGCUCUAUUCACUGCACUGCCU